UGAAACCAGCCAAAAUUUUUAAGACCGUCGGCUACGAAGGAUGAAUACUCCUCCAUUCAUACCGGUGUUUACAGAGGAUGGAAUAACGUCAAGGGCGUACGCGACGCGUAUUACUCUGCGUCGCACGCUACCGCAAACUACCGUGUGGUUCAUUGCACUUCACUUCACAGUGUGUAAGAACAAUGAACGAUCUGGUAACGGUACGGCCCCCUCCUUCGUCCCUCCGUGACACCUUGCGGGCGCUGGGGUAGCAGUGCGUGACUACGUGACGACAACUUCUCGCGGUUAAUGGCAUCAAUCGACAAGUGUUACGCAAGUGUAGUGAGAGGGAUUAUCAAGUUUUUGAAGAAAAUAUCCGGUGAUUCUGAUAUCCAGCUUUCAAAUGAUCGACUGCUACUAAGACUCGUUUCGUCUUCCACUGUUCUCCGCCGUUUCGUCUCUCUUCCGUGCUGUGCCACGAGUUUCUUACACGAAUACGAAGAAAAUGGACGCGAAAUGUUCGCGGGACCGGAGGAAACCAGCCGAGAAUGGGAGUAUAGGAGAGUAGAGGGAAAUAGGACGCGCGGCUAAUGGAAUUCUCCGAUAUUCACGCUAUUAUCAGAUCUCGGAUCAUCAAGUCCAGGCCGCGGAGCAUUCGUUAUUCGUUUUGGGUGGACCGACAGGGAACGUCUUUUGUCGGCGCUAUUUGUAUACGAACCGGAACAAAAGCAGGGACGGUCAAACGCAAGCAACCUCGAUUAAUGAUACAGAAAAGCGAGUAAAAGGGAGCAGCUCCCAGCCACUGUUCGCUUGACAAGACUCUGGCCUCGCUCCUCUCGCCGGGGUUGGAGACGGGAAACGUAUUCAGAAGGCAAGCGCGAGCGACGGAGGAGACCGACGGUGUAUCCACCGACAAAUACGACGCAUCCCUCUUCGCCGCGGAAGAAAGACUGCGAUGCGAUGUACAUGCGACUACCCUUUACCGUGGGAGAUAGUCAAGGGGCGCUCCGCUUCGCCGGGGGAAACCGGUAACCGACAAAAACAAUAACCCCAACGACUCGAGCCUCGACGAGCAAACUCCGCUUAUCGGCUCUCGAUGAUAUCCGACCGUUUUUAUUCAACAGCGAACAGCUUAUACGAAGAUACAUCCUCUUCUUCGCCUCUCAUGAUCUUUAAUCAAGCCCCGCGACGGUAAAUUUCACGUGCCCAUGAAAGUACCAUUAACAGUAAGUUAAUGCGAAGUGUGUAUUACGUUCUCUAGUUUAUUGGGAUGGUAACGGCCACGCGCGAAACAUAAAAUCGUAUGCGUCCACACAGUGUUUGCUACAUUCGUGUUCCGUCGUUGCCAGUGCCCUGGAAGUGCGUUCAUUCACUUGAGCAUUCACUCCGAAUGGGCAUCGAACGAGUGCCGAUUUGUUCGCGCAGCAGCGCUCGUUCGGUGUUCAUUCAGUUUCGUUCGGGUUUGCUGCGACUAGUUUCCACACGAACACCGGAUUCU